AGUGAACGCUGGCGGUAGGCCUAACGCAUGCAAGUCGAACGGCAGCACAGUAAGAGCUUGCUCUUACGGGUGGCGAGUGGCGGACGGGUGAGGAAUACAUCGGAAUCUACUUUUUCGUGGGGGAUAACGUAGGGAAACUUACGCUAAUACCGCAUACGACCUACGGGCGAAAGCAGGGGAUCUUCGGACCUUGCGCGAUUGAAUGAGCCGAUGUCGGAUUAGCUAGUUGGCGGGGUAAAGGCCCACCAAGGCGACGAUCCGUAGCUGGUCUGAGAGGAUGAUCAGCCACACUGGAACUGAGACACGGUCCAGACUCCUACGGUAGGCAGCAGUGGGGAAUAUUGGACAAUGGGCGCAAGCCUGAUCCAGCCAUACCGCGUGGGUGAAGAAGGCCUUCGGGUUGUAAAGCCCUUUUGUUGGGAAAGAAAAGCAGCAGGUUAAUACCCCGCUGUUCUGACGGUACCCAAAGAAUAAGCACCGGCUAACUUCGUG
rnacentral:rRNA from 1 species